rnacentral:rRNA from 1 species
GACGAACGCUGGCGGCGUGCUUAACACAUGCAAGUCGAACGGAAAGGCCCCCUUGUGGGGUACUCGAGUGGCGAACGGGUGAGUAACACGUGAGUAACCUACCCUUGACUUUGGGAUAACUUCAGGAAACUGGGGCUAAUACCGGAUAGGAGCUCCUGCUGCAUGGUGGGGGUUGGAAAGUUUCGGCGGUUGGGGAUGGACUCGCGGCUUAUCAGCUUGUUGGUGGGGUAGUGGCUCACCAAGGCUUUGACGGGUAGCCGGCCUGAGAGGGUGACCGGCCACAUUGGGACUGAGAUACGGCCCAGACUCCUACGGGAGGCAGCAGUGGGGAAUAUUGCACAAUGGGCGGAAGCCUGAUGCAGCAACGCCGCGUGCGGGAUGACGGCCUUCGGGUUGUAAACCGCUUUCGCCUGUGACGAAGCGUGAGUGACGGUAAUGGGUAAAGAAACACCGGCGAACUACGU